rnacentral:lncRNA from 1 species
CACUGUGCUUAAAAAGGGAUUGAACAGCUGUCGUCAGGAUCCUCGAACUGUUGGCCUGAUCUUGAACUGAGUGUGGGUGGGACUUCUCCCACGACCUCUGACACCUCGACCUCUGACAACACAAAAUUCCCUAGAGUGAUUUAUCUCACAAAUAGCAAAGUAGAGAGAAAGGCAAUGAAAAUUACUGACUUCGGUAUUUGUCUAGAUUUCUGACUCUACGAUGGGUAAAAGCAGUGUGGAUUUGUCCAGUCAGCCACGGUUCGUGAAGCGCAGGGGCCUGGCCAGCAGUCCGGGAACGUCUACCACCCCACGCCCAGGACGUCAUCCCCCACCUGGACCCACGCUGCCCCUUCCUGCCCUUGCGAGAGUCAAAACUCCUGGGGCAAGUCCGACGAUCUCCCGUCCAGCAAGUAUCAUUUCCUGCAAGCACAAGGAUGACAAUGACGAGUAUAAACCACCGCUGAGCCAGACGGCACAGAUGGACGAGCAGGCGCACUGCAGGGCUGCGCGGGCGUCGGCACAGCGUGGAGAGCAGUGUGAGCACCAGGACCCCGAGCUCAGACUUGCAAGUGGAAGGACAGUCGGCCCUAAUCUAAUGGGCAUGACUUUGAGUGAAGAGAGCAAAGUGAACAAGUAUGCUGAAUAA